UUUAUUCUAAUUCUAAUAUUAUUCUAAUAUGCAAUGUUUUGCACAUUACAAGUUUCAGAUGUGUGCUGCUACCGCUAGCUGUUCCUCAAAUUACUUAAAAAGUGUGACACUGUGUGCACAGGCGUUCAAGUUUCAAUUGAUCCUCAAGCACAAAGGCGCGCCAAAUCUGAUGACAUCUUUCCUGAACCAAGCAGGCUGAACACGCGCACCACCACGGGCUCCAGCGCGGUGUGAAGAGGGAAGAAGAAAAGACAGAAUUGGAAACAGCCGCACCAGGCUUCCAACCACCGUGUGUGUGUGAAUGUAAGUAUGUGAGAACACAUGUGUGAAUCCUCUUGUGGGAACUGCAAAAAGAAGAGAAUAAAGAGUGUGAAGCAGCUAGACUGCCGCAACCAAA